rnacentral:rRNA from 1 species
UGCAGUCGAACGGUACGCUUGAUUUCGAUUGGGCGUAUAGUGGCGAACGGGUGGGUAACGCGUAGGCAUCUGCCCUUGGGACGGGGAUAACCACUGGAAACGGUGGCUAAUACCGGAUAAUGCAGCGGCUCCGCAUGGAGAUAGUUGUUAACGGUGGGCUUUUAGCUCACGCCUGAGGAUGAGCCUGCGUCCUAUUAGUUAGUUGGUGGGGUAAUGGCCUACCAAGGCAGCGAUAGGUAGCCGGCCUGAGAGGGUGAACGGCCACACUGGGACUGAGAUACGGCCCAGACUCCUACGGGAGGCAGCAGUGAGGAAUAUUGGGCAAUGGACGCAAGUCUGACCCAGCAACGCCGCGUGGAGGAAGACGCAUCAAGGUGUGUAAACUCCUGUUAGAAGGGACGAAUGUGUUAUGUUCGAAUAGGGCAUAGCUUUGACGGUACCUUCAGAGAAAGCACCGGCUAACUCCGUGCCAGCAGCCGCGGUAAUACGGAGGGUGCAAGCGUUGUCCGGAAUCAUUGGGCGUAAAGGGCGAGUAGGCUGGCUGGUCAGUCAGGAGUGAAAGUUCGGGGCUUAACUUCGAAUCUGCUUUUGAUACUGCCGGUCUUGAGUGUGAGAUGGGAAAGUGGAAUUCCCGGUGUAGCGGUGAAAUGCGUAGAUAUCGGGAAGAACACCAGAGCGAAGGCGGCUUUCUGGCUCACAACUGACGCUGAAUCGCGAAAGCGUGGGGAGCGAACAGGAUUAGAUACCCUGGUAGUCCACGCUGUAAACGAUGGGCACUAGGUGUUGGAAGGUUAGAAUCUUUC